rnacentral:rRNA from 1 species
UACGAGGGGUGCAAGCGUUGUCCGGAUUUACUGGGCGUAAAGAGCGCGCAGGCGGUCGUUCAAGUCGAGUGUGAAAGCCCCCGGCUCAACUGGGGAGGGUCACUCGAUACUGAUCGACUUGAAGGCAGGAGAGGGAAGCGGAAUUCCCGGUGUAGUGGUGAAAUGCGUAGAUAUCGGGAGGAACACCAGUGGCGAAGGCGGCUUCCUGGCCUGUUCUUGACGCUGAGGCGCGAAAGCUAGGGGAGCAAACGGG